rnacentral:rRNA from 1 species
AUUGAACGCUGGCGGAAUGCUUUACACAUGCAAGUCGAACGGUAGAGGGGGCAACCCCUCGAGAGUGGCGAACGGGUGAGUAAUAUACCGGAACGUGCCCAGUCGUGGGGGAUAACGUAGCGAAAGUUACGCAACUACCGCAAACGACAUAAGGAUGAAACCGGGGGACCCCAAAACCCCGCGCGAUUGAGGCGGCCGAUAUCAGAUAAGGUAGUUGGUGGGGUAAAGGCUCACCAAGCCAACGAUCUGUAGCUGGUCUGAGAGGACGACCAGCCACACUGGAACUGAGACACGGUCCAGACUCCUACGGGAGGCAGCAGUGGGGAAUUUUGGACAAUGGACGCAAGUCUGAUCCAGCCAUUCCGCGUGCAGGAUGAAGGCCCUCGGGUUGUAAACUGCUUUUGUACGGAACGAAAAGGUCUCUCUUAAUACGGGGGACUCAUGACGGUACCGUAAGAAUAAGCACCGGCUAACUACGUGCCAGCCGCCGCAGUAA